CCUACGGGUGGCAGCAGUGGGGAAUAUUGCACAAUGGGGGAGACCCUGAUGCAGCGACGCCGCGUGAGCGAUGAAGGAUUUCUGGAUGUAAAGCUCUAUCAGCAGGGAAGAAAAUGACGGUACCUGACUAAUAAGCCACGGCUAACUACGUGCCAGCAGCCGCGGUAAUACGUAGGGGGCAAGCGUUAUCCGGAGUUACUGGGUGUUAAGGGAGCGUAGACGGCUGUGCAAGUCAGAUGGGAAAGCCCGGGGCUCAACCCCGGGAUUGCAUUUGAAACUGGGUGGCUGGAGUGUCGGAGAGGCAGGCGGAAUGCGUAGUGUAGCGGUGAAAUGCGUAGAUAUUAGGAGGAACACCAGUGGCGAAGGCGGCCUGCUGGACGAUGACUGACGUUGAGGCACGAAAGCGUGGGGAGCAAACAGGAUUAGAUACCCUUGUAGUC
rnacentral:rRNA from 1 species